rnacentral:rRNA from 1 species
GUCCAUGCCGUAAACGUUGGGCACUAGGUGUGGGGGACAUUCCACGUUUUCCGCGCCGUAGCUAACGCAUUAAGUGCCCCGCCUGGGGGAGUACGGCCGCAAGGCUAAAAACUCAAAGGAAUUGACGGGGGCCCGCACAAGCGGCGGAGCAUGCGGAUUAAUUCGAUGCAACGCGAAGAACCUUACCAAGGCUUGACAUGAACCGGAAAGACCUGGAAACAGGUCCCCCGCUUGCGGUCGGUUUACAGGUGGUGCAUGGUUGUCGU